GUUAUUUCCUUUUUUAAGUAAUGCACUCUGGUAUAUCACCAUCUACAUGUAUACAUAUAUUUCUCUUGUAUCUAAUGCAGGGUUGUAAAUUUAAUCACUUCAAAAUCAGCAACUUCAUGUAUCACCCUGUUUCAGAGUGAUUACGUGCAUACAUGUACAAGCAAGAGUGAUUUCUCACAAAAUCACUUGUUAAUUUAACAAUAUAUAGCAUAAAUUGAAUAUGAAAUCAUAAUGAAUUUAAACCAUACAAAGAGAGGAUUAUUGAAGUAUUCAUGUCAGACCGAAAAUUCUGAUGUUUCUGCAUUUAAACCUGAUCUAGUCAUUGUUAAAUCUAUAACACAACUCUAUGACAUACACAACUUAUGUUUGAAUUUGACAGUUCUGCAGCUCGUAUUAACGAGAAUACAUGUUUUGUUGUUGACACACUCUACUUAAAUAAAAACGUGGUGAAUUAACCUGUAAAUUUAAGAAAAUGCAAAUA
rnacentral:lncRNA from 1 species